rnacentral:rRNA from 1 species
GGUUAAGCGACUAAGCGUACACGGUGGAUGCCCUGGCAGUCAGAGGCGAUGAAGGACGUGCUAAUCUGCGAUAAGCGUCGGUAAGGUGAUAUGAACCGUUAUAACCGGCGAUUUCCGAAUGGGGAAACCCAGUGUGAUUCGUCACACUAUCAUUAACUGAAUCCAUAGGUUAAUGAGGCGAACCGGGGGAACUGAAACAUCUAAGUACCCCGAGGAAAAGAAAUCAACCGAGAUUCCCCCAGUAGCGGCGAGCGAACGGGGAGCAGCCCAGAGCCUGAAUCAGUGUGUGUGUUAGU